rnacentral:rRNA from 1 species
GACGUAGGUGGCGAACGUUAUCCGGAAUCAUUGGGCGUAAAGGGUGCGUAGAUGGCUUGAUAAGUUAGCAGUGGGAAAUCGAGGCUCAACCUCGUGGAAGCUGGUAAUACUGUCAGGCUCGAGUGCAGGAGAGGUUAACGGAACUCCAUGUGGAGCGGUAAAAUGUGUAGAUAUAUGGAAGAACAUCAAUAACGGCGAAGGCAGUUAACUAUUCUAUUCCUGACAUUGAGGCAUGAAAGCGUGGGGAGCAAAACGG